UGGGUUCAGUUGAUUUUACUGUUGAAGUGACAGUGAUCUCAGUCUUCGACAACAAAAGUUACAAGCAAGGACAAACACGUUUUACAAAGAUUAUAAGCUGAAGUGAAGAUGAUUGGGCAAGAUAUACUUGAAAAGAUAAAAGAAUUGUUUUAUAAGGGUUUUAACUACCGUUUAAUCCAUUAUUUGAUCCAGAGAAACCAUAACUGUGACAUAAGA